AAGCGGGCUCGCCGGCCGUAACCCUGUCUGUCGGGGUGCGUACGGUCAAAUCAAAGACAGACUAAGCAUGUAGUCGCCGGUGCGUGGCGGAUUGACGGACGCGGGUUCGAUUCCCGCCGCCUCCACCA
rnacentral:tmRNA from 1 species